rnacentral:misc_RNA from 1 species
UUUCAGCAUGCACUUCACC